CAUUUUACUUGUCGUAACGCGUGUGAUGUUNANUCUUAUCAUAAACAUUACCCCUUUCANCUUGGGUGUUAUAAUCCAUUCUCUAAGUCAUGUGGUCNUAUUCCUCCUUUUUUGUACCCCACAAGAAUUUCGAGUUGGUAAUACCCANUGGGGUUAACAAAGAAUUUUUAUUNCGCCUUAAAAGUAUUUGGGUUCUUGCCGUUCCCGAAUUUAAACCUUUUUGUUUUGCUCGUGGUUUAAAAAACCCUUCCAAGGCUGUGAUCUGUACCUGUCUUGAGAGGAUGAUCACCACAUGUGGGAACUGUAGACACCGGCCCNAAACUCCUACGGGAGGCAGCAGUAGGGAAUCUUGCGCAAUGGGGGUAAACCCUGGACGCAGCGACACCACAUUGAGUGAUGAAGGCUCUAGGGUUGUAAAGCUCUGUUCUUGACGAACAAACAAAUGAUUAGUCAAGGAGAAAGGACCGGCUAACUUCGUGCCAGCACUCGGUAAGACGAGGGGUCCAAGCGUUGUCCGGAAUUAUUGGGCGUAAAGCGGGUGUAGGCGGUUUUGCAAGUCUAGAAGUGAAAGCCUCAGGCUCAACCUGAGAAGUGCUUUUGAUACUGCCAUAAACUUGAGUUUGGAAGAGGGCAAUGGAAUUCCUGUUGUAGUUGGUGAAAUGCGUAGAUAUCAGGAGGAAUACCAGAGGCGAAGGCGGUUGCCUGGUCCAAUACUGACGCUGAGAUCCGAAAGCGUGGGGAGCAAACAGGAUUAGAUACCCUGGUAGUC
rnacentral:rRNA from 1 species